rnacentral:lncRNA from 1 species
CCCAUGGACCCCUAAUUCAUGUCCUUCCCACAUGUAAAAUGCAUUCCAUCCUGGUAGCCCUCCACCUCUUAGCUUGUUUCAAUAUUAACUCAAAAGUCUAAAGUCCAAACAACUUUCUAUUCCAACAGGAAGAGGAGGAAGGUGAAGAGGCAUCCUCAGCUGAUGUCUUGGGUGUUGAUUGCUUGCAUUGUGUUUUGAAGGAGCCAACCUACAGUGUCCACCUCAGGUACAGUGAGAGUCACUGGCCCAAACAGUGAUUGAGAAGCUGUAAGGGCCUGAAGAAUACACGUUUGCUGUGGACCCCAUACAAUGAUAAAAGGAAGGAAAGACAAAAAGAAAAUUGGUGAUUUCCUUGUCUGCUAAUGCCCUAGAAGCCAAGUUUGAGCUGUGUUUGGCGUCAUCUUGAAUUAAUGCCAAGGCCACGAAAGGCCAGGUACCAGGAAUCGAAUUCUUGCGAGGCAGGUGGCAGAACUACUGAGCUAAAUCCCCAGCCCUAGAUCCAUUUCUUGUACUUUGUCUUCUCAGCUGCACUUAGAUAUUUUGCUAUGAGAAUUUUCAGUAUAAUAAUAGCCAGCAUCUUCAAGAAAUUGUGUUCUGGCAUAACACUGGCUUGUAUUUAGUUGAAAUGGUCUAAUAAAAAAGGCAAAGAAAGCCACUGACAAGACACGUGGUUGGUCCACUAGAGGGCAGCAAGUGUAAAUUCGAUUUAAAUUUGCCCUCAGGAAGGGGGCUUUCACAAACAUUUCUAUUACAAGUAAGUUUUCCUAAAUAAAGUCACUCAAUUUAAUUCACUGACGUAAAAUAAUGUAUGUGUAUGUGCCUCAUUAGGUUGAAAACAAAAUGAGGAUAGAAUCGGUUCUAGUCCCAGCACUUUUGCUAAU